GCCCCGAUAGCUCAGUCGGUAGAGCAUCUCCAUGGUAAGGAGAAGGUCAAGGGUUCGAAUCCCUUUCGGGGCU
rnacentral:tRNA from 11 species